UACGAAGGGGGCUAGCGUUGCUCGGAAUCACUGGGCGUAAAGGGCGCGUAGGCGGCCAUUCAAGUCAGGGGUGAAAGCCUGUGGCUCAACCACAGAAUUGCCUUUGAUACUGGGACGCUUGAGUAUGGUAGAGGUUGGUGGAACUGCGAGUGUAGAGGUGAAAUUCGUAGAUAUUCGCAAGAACACCGGUGGCGAAGGCGGCCAACUGGACCAUUACUGACGCUGAGGCGCGAAAGCGUGGGGAGCAAACAGG
rnacentral:rRNA from 1 species